rnacentral:lncRNA from 1 species
CUAUUUGUAUCAAAGAUUCGGACUAAGGGGUUUGAACUCAAUAUGGUUAUCUGUAGAGAGAAUAGUUUCUAGUUAGAUUUUAUACUUAUAAUAUUAUUUAUUCUAGGGACUUUAAAAACAAACAAGGGCUCCCAUUAUUUUUUCGAAUCUCUCACACUCGGGUGGAGAAAUAAAAACCUAUACGCGAUCGAUUUCAAGUGGAUACUGUGGUCCCAUUAAUCUAUAUACACCUCAC